rnacentral:rRNA from 1 species
UACGAGGGGGGCAAAUGUUGUUCGGAAUCACUGGGCGUAAAGGGAGCGUAGGCGGGUUUCUAAGUCAGGUGUUUAAUCCCGGGGCCCAACCCCGGACAGGCACUUGAAACUGGGAAUCUUGAAUAGUGGAGAGGUCAGUGGAAUUGGGGGUGUAGCGGUGGAAUGCGUAGAGAUCCCCAAGAACACCAGUUGCGAAGGCGGCUGACUGGACACAUAUUGACGCUGAGGCUCGAAAGCAUGGGGA